AGAGUGAACGCUGGCGGUAGGCCUAACACAUGCAAGUCGAACGGCAGCACAGUAGGAGCUUGCUCUUACGGGUGGCGAGUGGCGGACGGGUGAGGAAUACAUCGGAAUCUACCUUUUGGUGGGGGAUAACGUAGGGAAACUUACGCUAAUACCGCAUACGCCCUUCGGGGGAAAGCCGGGGACCAGCAAUGGCCUGGCGCUGAUAGAUGAGCCGAUGUCGGAUUAGCUAGUUGGUGAGGUAAUGGCUCACCAAGGCGACGAUCCGUAGCUGGUCUGAGAGGAUGAUCAGCCACACUGGAACUGAAGACACGGUCCAGACCU
rnacentral:rRNA from 1 species